rnacentral:lncRNA from 1 species
GGAGCGGCCGCCUGUGCAGGAGACCAGGCUGUGAGGAAGGAAGGAGUGGCUGAUGUCCUGUGAGACGUCUUCUCAGGACUGAAGCCCAACCUUACAGUUAGGAGUUUUUAAACUUCCCACAGUGAGGCCAGGAGCUAAAGUGAUGGAAAUAAUGCAAAUCAAUGAGUUGAUGGCGUUAUUGGUAUUUUUUCUGACGAAGAUUGGCCCUGAGCUAACAUCUGUGCCAGUGUUCCUCUAUUUUGUAUGUGGGACACCUCCACAGCAUGGCUGCCAAGGAGUGGUGCUAGGUUGGCACCUGGGAUCAGAACUGUGAACCCCGGGCCACCUAAACCGUGAGCAGGAACUUAACCAUUAUGCCACCUGGCCGGCCCCCUGCACCUCAGUUUUUUUUUUAUCUGUAAACUAGGGAUGGAAUAGUACCCGCCUCAUAGGAUUAUUUGAAGACAAAGUGAGUUUAUAGUAAGGUGUAUGGAAGAGUGCCUUUCACAUGGGAAAUGCUCAAACGUUAGCUUUGAUACCCUUCUCCCAACGUCGCUCUCCAAAACAGAGUGCCCGUGUAACCUCCGGAAGUGUUUGUUGAAUGACCUCCCAUCAUCAGGAUGCGUAACAAAGUGGCAAUCCAGCAUCCUCCAGGUUUUAUACGUGGGACGCCUACCACAGCAUGGCUGCCAAGCAGUGCCGUGUCCGCACCCGGGAUCCGAACCAGCGAACCCUGGGCCGCCGAGAAGUGGAACGUGCGAACUUAACCGCUGCGCCACCGGGCCGGCCCCUGUAGAUUAUCUUUUUUUAAUAUAUAUUUUUAUUGAAAUAUAUUUGACAUAUAACAUUGUGUAAAUUUAAGGUGUCCAACAUGUUAAUUUGAUACAUUUAUCCGUUGUAAAAUGAUUGUCAUAAUUAGCACCUCUAUCACAUUAUGUAAUUAUCUUUUCUUUUUAGUAUUUGGAAUAUAGAUUGAAAGGGAGUUUUUAAGAUUUUAAUAUAGUCAAAUUUAUCAAUCUUUUCCUUCAAAUAUUUGUAUUUUUUUUAGCCUUGUUUAAUAAAUCCUUUCCUCCAUCAGAUUAUAAAAAUAUUACCCUACAUAUUCUUGUAAAAGUUUAAAACUUGUGCUUUUUCCAAUUAGGUUUUUAAUCUACCUGGAAUUGAUGAUAUAUAUUGAUAAGUGACUGACCCAGGACCACAUAUUGAAUAUUUUGUCAUUUCCCCACUGAUUUAUAACACCACAGUGGUCAUUUAUCAAGAUGCCACAUAUCCAUGGGUCUGUCUGUAGCACACUCUCUUUAAUUCCUAUAGCUUUGUAAUAUAGCUCGAUCUCUUGAAGGCCAAGUGCCUUUAACCUCUCCCUACAAUAUUCUUCAUAUAUUUUGCAGUUGGCCUUUACUGUUUCAUAUCAGUUUUUUUUUUAUUGAGGCAUAAUUGACAUAUAGCAUUACAUUAGUUUCAGGUGUACAAUAUAAUGAUUCGAUGUUUGGAUACUCUGCCAAAUGAUCACUACAAUAAGGCUAGUUACCAUCUGUCAUUGUACAAAGUUACAAAAACUUGUGAUGAGAACUUUUAAGAUUUACUCUCUUAACAACUUUCAAAUCUGCAAUAAAAU